rnacentral:rRNA from 1 species
UGGGGAAUAUUGGACAAUGGGGGGAACCCUGAUCCAGCCAUGCCGCGUGUGUGAAGAAGGCCUUAUGGUUGUAAAGCACUUUAAGCGAGGAGGAGGCUACUAGUAUUAAUACUACUGGAUAGUGGACGUUACUCGCAGAAUAAGCACCGGCUAACUCUGUGCCAGCAGCCGCGGUAAUACAGAGGGUGCGAGCGUUAAUCGGAUUUACUGGGCGUAAAGCGUGCGUAGGCGGCCAUUUAAGUCAAAUGUGAAAUCCCCGAGCUUAACUUGGGAAUUGCAUUCGAUACUGGAUGGCUAGAGUAUGGGAGAGGAUGGUAGAAUUCCAGGUGUAGCGGUGAAAUGCGUAGAGAUCUGGAGGAAUACCGAUGGCGAAGGCAGCCAUCUGGCCUAAUACUGACGCUGAGGUACGAAAGCAUGGGGAGCAAACAGGAUUAGGAUACCCUGGUAGUCCAUGCCGUAAACGAUGUCUACUAGCCGUUGGGGCCUUUGAGGCUUUAGUGGGCGCAGCUAACGCGAUAAGUAGACCGCCUGGGGAGUACGGUCGCAAG